AUACGUAGGGGGCAAGCGUUGUCCGGAAUUACUGGGCGUAAAGAGCUCGUAGGCGGCUCAGCAAGUCGGUCGUGAAAGCCCGAGGCUCAACCUCGGAACUGCGGUCGAUACUGCUGUGGCUAGAGUCCGGUAGAGGAGAGUGGAAUUCCCGGUGUAGCGGUGGAAUGCGCAGAUAUCGGGAGGAACACCAGUGGCGAAGGCGACUUUCUGGACUGUAACUGACGCUGAGGCACGAAAGCGUGGGGAGCGAACAGGAUUAGAUACCCGAGUAGUCC
rnacentral:rRNA from 1 species